UACGAAGGGGACUAGCGUUGUUCGGAAUCACUGGGCGUAAAGCGCACGUAGGCGGAUUUGUAAGUCAGGGGUGAAAUCCCGGGGCUCAACCUCGGAACUGCCUUUGAUACUGCGAAUCUUGAGUCCGAUAGAGGUGGGGUGGAAUUCCUAGUGUAGAGGUGAAAUUCGUAGAUAUUAGGAAGAACACCGGUGGCGAAGGCGGCCCACUGGAUCGGUACUGACGCUGAGGUGCGAAAGCGUGGGGAGCAAACAGG
rnacentral:rRNA from 1 species